GAUGAACGCUGGCGGCGUGCCUAAUACAUGCAAGUCGAGCGAACAGACGAGGAGCUUGCUCCUCUGACGUUAGCGGCGGACGGGUGAGUAACACGUGGAUAACCUACCUAUAAGACUGGGAUAACUUCGGGAAACCGGAGCUAAUACCGGAUAAUAUAUUGAACCGCAUGGUUCAAUAGUGAAAGACGGUUUUGCUGUCACUUAUAGAUGGAUCCGCGCCGCAUUAGCUAGUUGGUAAGGUAACGGCUUACCAAGGCAACGAUGCGUAGCCGACCUGAGAGGGUGAUCGGCCACACUGAAACUGAGACACGGUCCAGACUCCACGGGAGGCAGCAGUAGGGAAUCUUCCGCAAUGGGCGAAAGCUUGACGGAGCAACGCCGCGUGAGUGAUGAAGGUCUUCGGAUCGUAAAACUCUGUUAUUAGGGAAGAACAAAUGUGUAAGUAACUAUGCACGUCUUGACGGUACCUAAUCAGAAAGCCACGGCUAACUACGUG
rnacentral:rRNA from 1 species